ensembl:lncRNA
GGAGCUGCAAGACCUCUGCGCCGAGAGCAAUAAAACAUGACUCAAGGAAAUUAAGGAGGAGUCAAAGAAGGGCAGACAUAGGCCACGCUCCUGGCUUGGAAAAAAUGAAUAUCCUAAAAAUGGCCGUUCUACGCAAAGCAAUCUACAGAUGCAAUGCCAUCCCUAUCCGUGAUCGUUUUCGCAGAACUAGAACAAAACCGUCCAAACAUUUACACGGAACCUAAACAGGCCCGGAAUGGCCAAGGCAAUCCUGAGGAGCAAAAACCAAGCAGGAGGCACACCUCUCCCAGACUUCGGUCAAUAUUACAAAGCUACGGUAAGCAAGACAGUGUGGCAAAGGUACCAAAACCGACACACAGACCACUGGAACAGAAGACAGAACCCAGAAAUAAACCCCAAACCGACGGUCAAUUAUUCUUCAACAAAGGGGGCAAGAAUGUCAAGGGGGGAAAAGACAGUCUGUUCAGCGCGUGGUGCUGGGAAGCUGGACAGCCACAUGAAAAUCCAGGAAACUGGAAAACAACACCCUCAAACCGUGCACAAAAAGAAACUCAAAACGGCUUAAAGACUUAAACCUAAGACAAGACACCAUCAACAGCAAACACAAACAACGACCCACUUGAAAAAUGGGCAAGAGAACUGAAUAGACAGUCACCCAAGGAAGAUAGACAGAUGGCCAACAGGCACACGAAAACAUGCUCAACACCAUGAAUGAUUAGAACAAGGCAAAUCCAAGCUGCUAAGAAGUACCACCUCGCACCUGUCAGAAGGGCCAUCAUUAGUAAGGCUAGAAAUUACAAAUGCUGGAGAGGGUGUGCAGAAGAGGGUACCCUCCCACCCUGUUGGUAGGAAUGUAACUUGGCACAGCCGCUAUGGAAAGCACCAUGCAGGGACCUCGGAAAACUAAAUAUAGAACUAGCAUGUGGCCCAGAAAUCCCACUCUUGGGCGUAUGUGGGGACAAGACUUGCCUUGAACAAGAUACAGGCACCCAUGGACGUUGACGACAGCGCCGAGUGUCCAGUGCGGCACUCCUCACGCUAGCCAAGACGUGGAAACCACCUAAACGUCCACCGACAGAUGAAUGGGUUAACAAGAGGUGGGAUAUAUACACAAUGCGGUACUCCUCAGCCGUGAAAGGAAGGAAUUAGUGCCAUUUGCAGCAGAGUGGAUGGAACUAGAGGCGCUCAUCCUAAGCAAAGUCCCUCAGAAAGAGAAACACCAACCCCACAUGAUGUCACUUAUAUCUGGACUCUAAAACACAGCACAAAUGAUCCUUUCCACGGAACAGAAACUCAAGGACUUGCAGAAGAGACUUGUGCUUGCCAGUGGGGUCAGGGAGGAAGUGGGAUGCACUGGGACUCUGGGCUUUAGGGAUGCAAACAAUUGCAUCUGGACUGGCUAUGCGAUGAGAGCCCACUGGAUCGCACAGGGAUACAAUAUCCAGCCACUCACGAAGGAACGUGAUAGAGGAUAGUGGGAGAAAAUGUAAGCAUGUAUAUGGGUGUGUCUGUGUGCGUGUGUGCACGCGUGUGCGACAGGAUCACUUUCCUGCACAGCAGAAAUUAACAGAAAAAUUUAAACCGAGUGUAAAGGAAAAAAUUAAAAUCAUUUAAGAAAACUUAGAACUUUCCUGGAGGGGUAAUUCUAGGAAAAGUAUGCUAAUGAAGGGAUCUUAAACCCAAAACGUUGAUCUUAAAAACCAAAAAUAGAACACAUGACAAUACUGAAAUCCAACCACUAUCCAUCACAUGACAGUUUUUCUGCAGGCUUCAUUUGGUGCAUGGGCCUUGAGCAAAAAGGAUGUCUGCCCUCCCAAGAGCCUUACAACAAGAGGGACUUACUUCAUGGAGAGAAACACAGAGGGAGCACGGAGUCCUUCUCACCCAGAUGGGCAGCGAGUUUGUACAAUGGUGCCGCACACCAGGCUAAGGAUGAGGGUGAACUGUGAGCUCUUACUUGCAAGGUCGCCUGGGUGUGUGCUACCUAGGGUGGUCAAGUGUGAGAAUGACAGUGACACUGUCCAAUACAAGCAUACGCCUCGCCGAUUCCCAUCUGCUUUGGCCAUGUUGAAGCAAUGACCGCAGCACUGACAGGGACCUUUUAAAAUGCACAGCAUCGACAGGCCCUCUGGAGACCCUGGAAUUCCCGGGCAUAGACACGGAGCAGGGACCCUCCCCGCUCCGUGCUCCCCACGAACGACCAAGUCCUGGCUGAGGGAGAGGUGCAGGUCAGGGGUCCAGAGCGUCCCCAUAGGGAACCCAGCCUGGGUCCCACUUUGGCUUUCCCAUGUAGGAGGUCAAGAGCUUGGGCCAACUCUCUCUGCACCAUCUCCACCUGAGCAACGGGAAAAUUAAGCCAACGUGGGGACAGCAGUGGUGAGGGGCGAAUGCAUGCCUAUAGGGGUGGUACGCAGAGGUGAUGGGAUGUUUCUUAAGGAACGUUGAGCGGUGUAUUUUCUGUAUAAAUAGGAGAGAGCUCAUGAGGAAACAGAUACUUACACCACAUGUGCUCACACAUGGACCUCACUCCCUGUCCCUCGGAAUGUGUCACAACCCAAGGAAUCAACACAAGAGACUUGUGUCCAGGGCAGGUGCCACCAGGGCAUCACUAUGACUGGGAAAGAGCUGCCUGCUCCACAUCCCAGACUACCCCCUUUCCAAAAGGAACCCAGGAUCUGGCUGCUCUCCAACCAAUGCCCGCAAGGAAGACCCACCUUCUUCUUCUUCACCCCGAUUGUUUGUCACUGGAGUGGGGCGCUCCAAAGCCAUGCCAUUAUUAUUAGUUGCGUCAUCGGCCGGCAUCUAGUGCAAGAAAACAGUGUGAGAAUCUAAGCUUCCUGGUCUCUAUGGACAUGAGAAUUUUCAUGGUCUUUCUGCCCAGCAAAACCCAAAAGGGAAACACUCCUCGAGUCCACGGUCCCAAAGAAAACACAGAGGUCAUCCUGGACAAAGGCUUCAAAUCUUCCUGUAGGAAUUCUUAUGUGUACUUUGACCAAAACCCACCAAAUUCUCUUGCAAGGAGGGCAAUUCUCUGCUGGUAACAUUGCUCUCAGCCGCACUUCCAGUUUCUAGAGGCUGCUGUCAAUUUUUCAAUCAGUCAUGCAUUGGGAGAGACAUUCCGUCAACACUCGUCCAACCCAGGAAAAAUGUAUAUAAACACUACCACCUGACUAAGUAUGUUUCAACUUGGACACACACGCACGCACGCACGCACGCACGCACGCACAAAGGAUACCACAAAAUACUUCCGAGUUCAUUCGUAUACAGGGGACCCUAAAGAAAAAUUAUUCUUGCAUGCACCGAAGGAGAAAAUCUCCACGUACCUGUCCCCGACCCAUUAGCGGGGUGCACUCGCUGGUGGCGCCAGGAGCAUAACUUUCUGAUGCAGCCAGAGGUGGAUCUUUGUGACGUCUGUCGAUUGUUCCUUUGGAUCCGGAAGCAGCAUCCUAUGCAAUCUAUCACAACAGGGAGGACUGCUGACAUCUUGCUGUCAGAAGACCGUAGGGAAAUUUGUACUCAUUUAUUCCAUUUAAUCUUUUGGUCCCCUGGCUCACCAGCUGCCCAGGAGUGCUGCCUGGAUCAAGGUCAGACUUAGAAGGAUCAUGCAGUUUAAAACAACCAACAGACAGGAUUUUUGAACAACCACCUUUGUUUAACUGAGACCUUCUAGAAACACAGCAAAGUAAGAGUGAUCGUGCCUGAUGGUCUGGUUCAAACACAUUCAGAAGAAUCAUGAACCUGGGGAAAGGGUUGUAGAUCCCUAAGGGCCUCGAUGCCCUGUUCUACGAGGUGGAAAUGGUAUUCUAGAAGGCUGACUUUUAGUAUGAUGUUAUGAGGACGACUUCAUGAAGUACGGGUAACAUUUUAGAAAAAGGAAGGACGGGUGCCUCGUCAAUGCUCCGUAUGCGUUCAGCCUUGAGUGAUGGCAAGAGUAAGCUAGACAGUCAGUGGUGGCUGAAAACCAAAGGGGGUAAAUGGAUGCCUCAAGUCGGGAAGGGUGGAAGCUUAUUCCCCAGCAUCUUCAUGGGAACGAUGCUUCGCAGCUCAUGGACAGUACCUAUUUUCAUCUCCUCUGAUACUCAGUCCUGUUGAAGGUGAGGAAGUGCAAACAGGACCCACAUGAGGGGUAACCAAGUGACAGUCCAAGCGUCACAACAAUGACGGGUGAUGAAUCUGAGGCAGGUGGACCAGACAUAUUAAUUAAGACAACGAACCCGGAAGUUAUACGCAUAACUCUAGAGAUAGCUCAGAGGGGUAGAAAUGAGAAGAAAAACACAAGAAGGAAAAAUGCAGGAGACAAAGUGAGCGAGCCCAUCUGAAGGAACAGCCACUCGGGGGAGCAAUGUAAACUUACCUUAGGAACAGUGAUUGAGAUUGCCCAUUCCUAAAGCAUGAGCCGUGAAGUGAGAGCGUCACACUGGCCACCACGUACAAACCUCUCAGGCCACAGAGCGACAGCCUGACCAUGAGGCAAGAAGUGCACAAGCACAUUACCGUGGUGACGUGUCAUCGUACCACUUUCAGAGGGAAGUCAACCCCUGCACAGGAUGGGUCCAACGGCUGCCGGCAGAGAGCGUGUUUCCAUGGACAAGCUUGGCUUUUCAGAGGAGCCUUGUCAUUUCCGAAACGGAAUCUCAGGCUCCCACAGAACCCUCUGACUAAGAAAAUAAUUUUCUAUGAGAGAGAACGACCUGUCCCCCAGGAGGAGUUGAGAGUGAACCUUGCAGGGUGAAGAGGCCAAAAAGCCAGCAUGUGCAGAAUUUAAGGAAGAACUACCCCUCCAUUUCUACUCUUCCUGAGUCACUAGACAUUUGCCAAUCAAACCAUUUCAAAACGUGAGAUUUAAGGUUAUUGUAACCAGGGUGAAUGUUUUCAUGUUUCAUGACGACUGCUAUUCUGCAGUGUCCUAUUCAAGUUUGCUGCUCACAAAAAUUACUAUUUUUGAUGCACAUUGCAAGUAAGUCUCCAAUUUGUCACAUGCUUGUAUCUUACUACAGUUACUCGUACAUACAACCUGAGGAAAGU